rnacentral:rRNA from 1 species
CGAACGCUGGCGGCGUGCCUAAUACAUGCAAGUCGAGCGAGCGGAACUAACAGAUUUACUUCGGUAAUGACGUUAGGAAAGCGAGCGGCGGAUGGGUGAGUAACACGUGGGGAACCUGCCCCAUAGUCUGGGAUACCACUUGGAAACAGGUGCUAAUACCGGAUAAGAAAGCAGAUCGCAUGAUCAGCUUUUAAAAGGCGGCGUAAGCUGUCGCUAUGGGAUGGCCCCGCGGUGCAUUAGCUAGUUGGUAAGGUAAAGGCUUACCAAGGCGAUGAUGCAUAGCCGAGUUGAGAGACUGAUCGGCCACAUUGGGACUGAGACACGGCCCAAACUCCUACGGGAGGCAGCAGUAGGGAAUCUUCCACAAUGGACGCAAGUCUGAUGGAGCAACGCCGCGUGAGUGAAGAAGGUUUUCGGAUCGUAAAGCUCUGUUGUUGGUGAAGAAGGAUAGAGGUAGUAACUGGCCUUUAUUUGACGGUAAUCAACCAGAAAGUCACGGCUAACUACGUGCCAGCAGCCGCGGUAAUACGUAGGUGGCAAGCGUUGUCCGGAUUUAUUGGGCGUAAAGCGAGCGCAGGCGGAAGAAUAAGUCUGAUGUGAAAGCCCUCGGCUUAACCGAGGAACUGCAUCGGAAACUGUUUUUCUUGAGUGCAGAAGAGGAGAGUGGAACUCCAUGUGUAGCGGUGGAAUGCGUAGAUAUAUGGAAGAACACCAGUGGCGAAGGCGGCUCUCUGGUCUGCAACUGACGCUGAGGCUCGAAAGCAUGGGUAGCGAACAGGAUUAGAUACCCUGGUAGUCCAUGCCGUAAACGAUGAGUGCUAAGUGUUGGGAGGUUUCCGCCUCUCAGUGCUGCAGCUAACGCAUUAAGCACUCCGCCUGGGGAGUACGACCGCAAGGUUGAAACUCAAAGGAAUUGACGGGGGCCCGCACAAGCGGUGGAGCAUGUGGUUUAAUUCGAAGCAACGCGAAGAACCUUACCAGGUCUUGACAUCUAGUGUCAUUUGUAGAGAUACAAAGUUCCCUUCGGGGACGCUAAGACAGGUGGUGCAUGGCUGUCGUCAGCUCGUGUCGUGAGAUGUUGGGUUAAGUCCCGCAACGAGCGCAACCCUUGUUAUUAGUUGCCAGCAUUAAGUUGGGCACUCUAAUGAGACUGCCGGUGACAAACCGGAGGAAGGUGGGGAUGACGUCAAGUCAUCAUGCCCCUUAUGACCUGGGCUACACACGUGCUACAAUGGGCAGUACAACGAGAAGCGAGCCUGCGAAGGCAAGCGAAUCUCUGAAAGCUGUUCUCAGUUCGGACUGCAGUCUGCAACUCGACUGCACGAAGCUGGAAUCGCUAGUAAUCGCGGAUCAGCACGCCGCGGUGAAUACGUUCCCGGGCCUUGUACACACCGCCCGUCACACCAUGGGAGUCUGCAAUGCCCAAAGCCGGUGGCCUAACCUUCGGGAAGGAGCCGUCUAAGGCAGGGCAGAUGACUGGGGU